rnacentral:rRNA from 1 species
UGCCAGCCGCCGCGGUAAUACGGAGGGGGCUAGCGUUGUUCGGAAUUACUGGGCGUAAAGCGUACGUAGGCGGAUCAGAAAGUAGGGGGUGAAAUCCCAGGGCUUAACCCUGGAACUGCCUCCUAAACUCCUGGUCUUGAGUUCGAGAGAGGUAAGUGGAAUUCCAAGUGUAGAGGUGAAAUUCGUAGAUAUUUGGAGGAACACCGGUGGCGAAAGCGCUCUACUGGACCAUUACUGACACUCAGAGGCGAAAGCUAGGGUAGCGAAAGGGAUUAGAUA